rnacentral:sRNA from 1 species
UAUAUAAUACGCAGGUGUGGGUGUCAAGUUAUGAGCUGCGGCGUUACCGGUCGGGAGGGGCACAGUCCGUCGGUGGAAAGAGAAGAAGAGGAAAAAAGUACGAGGUCCGAAUAAUACCCGCUAUAACAGGCACUCGACCGCUCGAUCUCAAACAAGCAUGAUGAUCAUCCAUGAAUGAUGUAGUAUUACUUAUGGUCGACUGCUGUGACCACAACAGACGAUGAAAAAGACGAAGUCCGAUACUUUGGAUGAUUCAUGUCAUGUGUCACUGUGUCAUCGUCCGCCGUUUCCGCCCACAAUAACAAUGGGAAUAUCCUUUUAUUCCGUUUUCUCUUUUAGAUCCAUCGUCGACCUCGCUCGCCCCCCACAAAACCGCACAACCGAGACAUACUUUUUACUGACACAUUCAUUGAAUCUUCCAUAGGCCGAAGGCCCCGAGAAGAAGAUUAUCUGAUAUUACAUCAUUUCAUAGAAUUUAUUUUUAUCAGCUUCCCUUAGGCAUUGGGCAUCAGUUGGGCAUUGAGCGCUUAUAUGGGACCGAUUCAUCUACUUGGCCCCUUAGUUGCAAAUGUCAGCCAUUUAACGCCCCGAACCCCUUACCUCAUUACUCUUUAUUCGGUAAGCAGCAGACCAACGGAUGUCCAAAUUUAUCCUUGAUCACGGCAUGACGUUUACCUGAUCGACGCGGACGAAAUAUCCAAUAGCAGGCAGCGCCGCCAUUGGUGCACACCGCGAUUAACGUGAUCUUUUAUCCCAGUUCCAGUGAUGAUUCGAUGAUUUUAACGUUGUAUUUGUUGAAGUGAUCGGAGCGCCUGAUCUGUACGUGCGGUCGAUAGGAUUUCAAUCGAACUCGUCUGGAGGAAUUAGUUACUGCUAAUACGUAUCAACGAUCAGUGAUCUUCUGUGAGGUAUUUCUCGUUGAUGAACGUCUUUUCAUCCCAAUUCGAAAGCAAGUUCAAAACUUCGUCGCGACUUCUCCAGUGACGCUUCGACUUACGUUCCAAAAGCCAAAAAUUUAGCAUCUCAUAAGUGUUAAAGACUGACCCUUUGCUUCGGCCUUCCAGAAUCCUUUUCACCUUCUAUCUUAUCGUCCAAACGUGUUAAUUACCACGAGAAACUUUCUUCAAAAUACUCCAACGUCGAAGGACCGACCUUGCCCUCACCAGUCCCAUAUGCGUCUACGAUUGCCGCCCUCAUAUCGUCCAUCAUGUUGCCAGGGCCACAAGCAAGUACUGCAAGAGUCUCAAAACCUACGAGUUUUAAAAUCGAGGUUUGAAGGACGGCGCGCAUUUCUGGUCGACCGAUAAGCAACGUUUCCUUAAGCGAGGAUUUGGAGGAAGAGGAAGGAAGCGACUUUUCGACCGUAGGGGAAGGCAAGGGAAAAGGAUGGUUGUAAGCCAAAGCGUGGCUUUCAGCUUCUUCGAUAAGAGGUGUAGUAACCCCUGUGUUUGAGGUGACAUGAAUCUGAAUAUCAAUGUCCAAUCCCUCAGGACUAUGCGAUAGCGACAGCUCUUUGGAUAAAACAUCCGUCGCAUAGUCAGAGUUCUUAACGACCCAUACCAGAGUGACUUUCUUCGUGACACAUUUACCGAUAGAACGACGAGAGACUAGAUCGUGCAAGUAAGGCAACGCCGCUGUGAUACCGCUACCACCUGCGAUGAAGAGGACUUUUUCGAAUCGGUAGACAGAGGAAGUGUGUCCGUAAGGACCUUCAACAAGGACUCGCAAAUCGGCUUGACCACUGAUGGCUUUGUUAACCAUCUUCCUCAUUCGUCUCGUGGCACCAUCCUUGGUACCCAUCAAGAAAUGCAAAGUAGUGCUCGACUUAUCGACUUCCCAGCUACCAAUGGUGAAAGUGUGGUUCUCCCACGGUGUGAUAGACAUGGGAGUAUAAAUAUAAUAAUGUUGGCCCGGUUUGGGAAUGUGUCGAAUGGAGCUGGUGACAGUAAGACGAAUGAGUCCUUUCUCACCCCCCGUCGCGACCAUAACGGCGUUGUUGCCCGCUACAGCUUUGAAGGAGAGGGCUUGGACGCGGAUGAUACGGAUGAAUCGGUCGAAUACCUGAUGAAGUGUCAGUUAAUGGUAAAAUGAAAGUAUAUGAAGUUUGGCGCUAACCCAGACAGCGACACAACCCCACGACCAGCCAUUGUAAUCGGUGCCGUAAACAGUAACAUGAUAGAAAAGCAAGGUCAGAGUAGAGAGAGCGAGGACAAUGUGCUCGAUGAGGAAGAAUUCGUACCACUUGUCACAAAUGGGCUUGAUAGAAAAGGGAAGCAUAAGACUCAUAGUGACGGCGGCCCAUUAAGAAGUAUAAGCAUCAUGGCGAUUUCGAAAGCAGGAGAGAAGGAAUUUGGGACUCACAAAGAUACCCGCUUUCCAGUACAUUUCCUGGAACAUCAAUGCAAUAACG